rnacentral:rRNA from 1 species
ACGGAAGGCAGCAGUGAGGAAUAUUGGUCAAUGGGCGGAAGCCUGAACCAGCCAAGUCGCGUGAAGGAUGAAGGUAUUAUGUAUUGUAAACUUCUUUAGACGUAGAGAAAUAAGGGGAUCGUGAUCCCUGAUGCUAGUAUACGUAGAAUAAGGAUCGGCUAACUCCGUGCCAGCAGCCGCGGUAAUACGGAGGAUCCGAGCGUUAUCCGGAUUUAUUGGGUUUAAAGGGUGCGCAGGCGGUCUUUUAAGUCAGUGGUUAAAUCGUGGAGCUUAACUCCAUCCCGCCAUUGAUACUGGAGGACUCGAUUGCGGUUGAGGUUGGCGGAAUUCGCCGUGUAGCGGUGAAAUGCAUAGAUAUGGCGAAGAACUCCGAUUGCGUAGGCAGCUGACCAAGCCGUAAAUGACGCUCAUGCACGAAAGUGCGGGGAUCGAACAGGAUUAGAUACCCUGGUA